UCCUACGGGAGGCAGCAGUGGGGAUUAUUGCACAAUGGGCGCGAGCCUGAUGCAGCAACGCCGCGUGAGCGAAGAAGGUCUUAUGGAUUUAAAGCUCUGAUCUGGGGGAAGAUAAUGACGGUACCCCAGGAGAAAGCCCCGGCUAAUACGUGCCAGCAGCCGCGGUAAUACGUAGGGGCAAGCGUUAUCGGAAUGAUUGGGCGUAAAGAGUGGUAGGUGGCCUUCUAAGCGAAGGGUGAAAUUCAGUGGCUUAACCACUGCGAGCCCCUUGAACUGGAAGGCUUGAGUGCAGGAGGGAAAGUGGAACUCCUAGUUAGCGGUGAAAAGCGUAGAUAUUAGGAAGUACACCGGUGGCGAAGGCGUUUUCUGGACUGUAACUGUCACUGAGGCACGAAAGCGUGUGGAGCAAACAUGAUUAGGUACCCUGGUAGUCCGCGCUGUAAACGAUGGGCACUAGGUGUCGGAGCCUGUAAAGCUUCGGUGAGCAGUUAACGAUUAUGUGCUCCGCCUGGGGGGUCGUACGCAAGUAUGAAACUCAAAGGAAUUGACGGG
rnacentral:rRNA from 1 species